GAUGAACGCUGGCGGCGUGCCUAAUACAUGCAAGUCGAGCGAACAGAUGAGGAGCUUGCUCCUCUGACGUUAGCGGCGGACGGGUGAGUAACACGUGGAUAACCUACCUAUAAGACUGGGAUAACUUCGGGAAACCGGAGCUAAUACCGGAUAAUAUAUUGAACCGCAUGGUUCAAUAGUGAAAGACGGUUUUGCUGUCACUUAUAGAUGGAUCCGCGCCGCAUUAGCUAGUUGGUAAGGUAACGGCUUACCAAGGAAACGAUGCGUAGCCGACCUGAGAGGGUGAUCGGCCACACUGGAACUGAGACACGGUCCAGACUCCUACGGGAGGCAGCAGUAGGGAAUCUUCCGCAAUGGGCGAAAGCUUGACGGAGCAACGCCGCGUGAGUGAUGAAGGUCUUCGGAUCGUAAAACUCUGUUAUUAGGGAAGAACAAAUGUGUAAGUAACUAUGCACGUCUUGACGGUACCUAAUCAGAAAGCCACGGCUAACUACGUG
rnacentral:rRNA from 1 species